CCCCUACCUCGCUCUCUCCCCACGAACCUCUCUGUCUCUCGCGACUCCUCUCUCCCCCACAAACCCCUCUCCCUCGCCGCCGCCACCACCCACGCCGGCCGGUUCCGGCGAGCUCCGGCGGCGCGCAGCACGCCCCCGAGCUCCCCUAGGUCCGCUCCACCUUCCCCUCCAUCCAGAAUCGGCGCUCCCGUCCUCCACCGACCCCGUGGCUAGCUAGGGUUUCGACCACC
rnacentral:rRNA from 1 species